AGGGAAUAUUGCGCAAUGGAGGAAACUCUGACGCAGCGACGCCGCGUGAGCGAUGAAGGUCUUCGGAUCGUAAAGCUCUGUCCUCAGGGAAGAAGAAAGUGACGGUACCUGAGGAGGAAGCCCCGGCUAACUACGUGCCAGCAGCCGCGGUAAUACGUAGGGGGCAAGCGUUGUCCGGAAUUAUUGGGCGUAAAGGGUGCGUAGGCGGCUUUUUAAGUCAGAUGUGAAAGACCACAGCUUAACUGUGGGGUUGCAUUUGAAACUGGGGAGCUUGAGUGUCGGAGAGGGUAGUGGAAUUCCUGGAGUAGCGGUGAAAUGCGUAGAUAUCAGGAGGAACACCAGUGGCGAAGGCGACUACCUGGACGACUACUGACGCUGAGGCACGAAAGCUAGGGGAGCAAAC
rnacentral:rRNA from 1 species